rnacentral:rRNA from 1 species
ACCAAUCCGUCGGCGUCGGGCGGGCUGACGGUGGUUUUCGGUUUUUACUACCGACGUACACAAAAAUCUUCUUAGAGGGACAGGCUGCGUCUAGCCGCACGAGAUUGAGCAAUAACAGGUCUGUGAUGCCCUUAGAUGUCCGGGGCCGCACGCGCGCUACACUGAAGGAAUCAGCAUGUUCUCCCUGGCCUAGAGGCCCGGGCAACCCGCUGAAACUCCUUCGUGCUGGGGAUUGGGGUUUGCAAUUAUCCCCCAUAAACGAGGAAUUCCUAGUAAGCGCGAGUCAUAAGCUCGCGUUGAUUACGUCCCUGCCCUUUGUACACACCGCCC